rnacentral:rRNA from 1 species
UUGACCUCGGAUCAGGUAGGAAUACCCGCUGAACUUAAGCAUAUCAAUAAGGGGAGGAAAG